UGGUUGUGCACGUCCAAGCAGUUAGGCUGAUAAGUAGGCAAAUCCGCUUAUCGUGAAGGCUGAGCUGUGAUGGGGAAGCUCCUUAUGGAGCGAAGUCUUUGAUUCCCCGCUGCCAAGAAAAGCUUCUAGCGAGAUAAAAGGUGCCUGUACCGCAAACCGACACAGGUAGGCGAGGAGAGAAUCCUAAGGUGUGCGAGAGAACUCUGGUUAAGGAACUCGGCAAAAUGACCCCGUAACUUCGGGAGAAGGGGUGCUUUCUUAACGGAAAGCCGCAGUGAAUAGGCCCAAGCGACUGUUUAGCAAAAACACAGCUCUCUGCGAAGCCGUAAGGCGAAGUAUAGGGGGUGACACCUGCCCGGUGCUGGAAGGUUAAGGAGAGGGGUUAGCGUAAGCGAAGCUCUGAACUGAAGCCCCAGUAAACGGCGGCCGUAACUAUAACGGUCCUAAGGUAGCGAAAUUCCUUGUCGGGUAAGUUCCGACCCGCACGAAAGGUGUAACGAUUUGGGCACUGUCUCAACCAGAGACUCGGUGAAAUUAUAGUACCUGUGAAGAUGCAGGUUACCCGCGACAGGACGGAAAGACCCCGUGGAGCUUUACUGUAGCCUGAUAUUGAAUUUUGGUACAGUUUGUACAGGAUAGGCGGGAGCCAUUGAAACCGGAGCGCUAGCUUCGGUGGAGGCGCUGGUGGGAUACCGCCCUGACUGUAUUGAAAUUCUAACCUACGGGUCUUAUCGACCCGGGAGACAGUGUCAGGUGGGCAGUUUGACUGGGGCGGUCGCCUCCUAAAGUGUAACGGAGGCGCCCAAAGGUUCCCUCAGAAUGGUUGGAAAUCAUUCGUAGAGUGCAAAGGCAUAAGGGAGCUUGACUGCGAGACCUACAAGUCGAGCAGGGACGAAAGUCGGGCUUAGUGAUCCGGUGGUUCCGCAUGGAAGGGCCAUCGCUCAACGGAUAAAAGCUACCCCGGGGAUAACAGGCUUAUCUCCCCCAAGAGUCCACAUCGACGGGGAGGUUUGGCACCUCGAUGUCGGCUCAUCGCAUCCUGGGGCUGUAGUCGGUCCCAAGGGUUGGGCUGUUCGCCCAUUAAAGCGGUACGCGAGCUGGGUUCAGAACGUCGUGAGACAGUUCGGUCCCUAUCCGUCGUGGGCGUAGGAAAUUUGAGAGGAGCUGUCCUUAGUACGAGAGGACCGGGAUGGACGCACCGCUGGUGUACCAGUUGUUCUGCCAAGGGCAUAGCUGGGUAGCUAUGUGCGGAAGGGAUAAGUGCUGAAAGCAUCUAAGCAUGAAGCCCCCCUCAAGAUGAGAUUUCCCAUAGCGUAAGCUAGUAAGAUCCCUGAAAGAUGAUCAGGUUGAUAGGUUCGAGGUGGAAGCAUGGUGACAUGUGGAGCUGACGAAUACUAAUAGAUCGAGGACUUAACCAUAUAA
rnacentral:rRNA from 1 species